rnacentral:rRNA from 1 species
GACGAACGCUGGCGGCGUGCUUAACACAUGCAAGUCGAACGAAGUGGCGAACGGGUGAGUAACGCGUAAUCAACCUGCCCUUCAGCGGGGGACAACAGUUGGAAACGACUGCUAAUACCGCAUACUGACGGAGGGGAUUGCGUCUGCUUAGCUAGUUGGCGGGGUAACGGCCCACCAAGGCGAUGAUCAGUAGCCGGUAUGAGAGGGGGACCGGCCACAUGGGGACUGAGAGACGGCCCAGACGCCUACGGGAGGAAGCAGUGGGGGAUAUUGCACAAUGGGCGAAAGCCUGAUGCAGCGACGCCGCGUGGGGGAUGAAGGCUUUCGGGUUGUAAACCUCUUUCGCUAUCGAACGGGUAGGUGGAGAAGAAGCGCCGGCUAACUACGUGCCAGCAGCCGCGGUAAUUC